ACUUCCGCUUACUGUCCGUCGUUCAGAAGACUGAACGACGGACAGUAAGCGGAAGUG
rnacentral:pre_miRNA from 1 species